rnacentral:lncRNA from 1 species
CACUCGGCAAACGACACACGGUAAAAUUUUGAGUCGUCAAAGUUAGCUUUGCCGAGUGUUCUAUGUCGUGCACUCGGCGAAGCUUUCGCCGAGUGACAACAAAACACUCGGCAAACAUAUUUUUUGAAAAAAAUAAAAAAAACAAAAGUGGCAGCCGGCACCACUGCCGGCCACCACCGCCGCCGCCACGCCACAGCCGCCGGCCACCACCACCGGCCUCCACCACCGCCGCCUCACCACAGCCGACGCCCACCGGCCUCC